rnacentral:rRNA from 1 species
GGCAGGCUAACACAUGCAGUCGAGCGGUAGAGAGAAGCUUGCUUCUCUUGAGAGCGGCGGACGGGUGAGUAAUGCCUAGGAAUCUGCCUGGUAGUGGGGGAUAACGUUCGGAAACGGACGCUAAUACCGCAUACGUCCUACGGGAGAAAGCAGGGGACCUUCGGGCCUUGCGCUAUCAGAUGAGCCUAGGUCGGAUUAGCUAGUUGGUGAGGUAAUGGCUCACCAAGGCGACGAUCCGUAACUGGUCUGAGAGGAUGAUCAGUCACACUGGAACUGAGACACGGUCCAGACUCCUACGGGAGGCAGCAGUGGGGAAUAUUGGACAAUGGGCGAAAGCCUGAUCCAGCCAUGCCGCGUGUGUGAAGAAGGUCUUCGGAUUGUAAAGCACUUUAAGUUGGGAGGAAGGGUUGUAGAUUAAUACUCUGCAAUUUUGACGUUACCGACAGAAUAAGCACCGGCUAACUCUGUGCCAGCAGCCGCGGUAAUACAGAGGGUGCAAGCGUUAAUCGGAAUUACUGGGCCGUAAAGCGCGCGUAGGUGGUUUGUUAAGUUGGAUGUGAAAUCCCCGGGCUCAACCUGGGAACUGCAUUCAAAACUGACUGACUAGAGUAUGGUAGAGGGUGGUGGAAUUUCAUGUGAAACGGUGAAAUGGGUAGAUAUAGGAAGGAACACCAGUGGCGAAGCCGACCACCUGGACUAAUAC